UACGUAGGGUGCAAGCGUUGUCCGGAAUUAUUGGGCGUAAAGAGCUCGUAGGCGGUUUGUUGCGUCGGCUGUGAAAUCCCGAGGCUCAACCUCGGGUCUGCAGUCGAUACGAGCAAACUAGAGUGUUGCAGGGGAGACUGGAAUUCCUGGUGUAGCGGUGAAAUGCGCAGAUAUCAGGAGGAACACCGGUGGCGCAGGCGGGUCUCUGGGCAACAACUGACGCUGAGGAGCGAAAGCGUGGGGAGCGAACAGG
rnacentral:rRNA from 1 species